rnacentral:lncRNA from 1 species
AAAAGUACGUCAAAUGUUGAUUCAUCAAGGGUUCCCUGUAUGAAGGAUUCUGUAGUUCAGCAAAAAAGUAACCUCAUAUUAGCAUAAAGCUUGGGGAACAGUAAAAAACUUGUAUCUGAACCGUCUUCCCAGUUGCAGUUGAAGAAGGGCUCAUCAGAAGGGUCCUAUGUUGCUAACAAAGGAAAUAUUGUAUCUGAUCAGAAUAAAAUUUCAAAGGAGGGAUUGAUAAACUCUUUUUCCACAAUGUUGAUCAAUAAUCCCUAGACUUCAACCGAUAAACAAAUUAGUGACAUAACAUCUAAAACUCAAAAGGUUGGAGCUUCUACACCUGGUUCAGUG